GGCUUGUUGCGAUACGCGGACGUAUUAGUCAUAGGCGCUGCAUACCGCACGGAAAAUUGAGACAUCCGACAAGGACGGCCACAGACUUCUACCCGAGUUAGAAAUUUUAAAGAACGCGAAGUGCCGCGGAGUCUAUGCAAAUGCGUAACACACUGUCGAACGUUCGAGCGAACGUAAGCGCAGUGCGAACUGAUACGCGCGCGUGUACUGUAAAAGCUAGAGGCGACCGCUUGUGCAACCUUGACGAUCGAGAAUGUGUUUGACCUCCUCGUCGCGGAUAAUCUUGCUCCUCGCCACCUCGUUAAUGCCUCGCGUGUCCUUAAAACCAUCGCCUCUUUACCCAUUGCUCUCGCGCUUUUUUUCUCUGCUUUUUUAUUUAUUUAUUUGUUUAUUCGUUUAUUAAGUUUCGCUUCUUUUUUCAUCUGGACUUGCUACUUUUGUAUCAACGAAAAAGGGAAUUGGUUGAAAGUAUGUAGGUUGUCUGUUUGGGCUUAUCUUAGGAACUGUUGUGGAUCUCUGGUUGCUUUUUGGAGGUUAUGGCUGUUUUCCUUUGAUCUCUUGCGUUUUCUUGUUUUUCUCUGGCUUUCGUUUCAACCGUAAAAAAAAAAAAAAAAAAAAAUAAAUUGGUUGAUAGUAUGUAGGUUGCUUGUUUGGGUUUAUUUCAGGAGUCGUUACGAUUCUUUGGUUGCUUUUUGUAGGUUAUGACUGUUUUCUGUUGAACACUCGCGUUCUCUUGCUUUCCUCUGGAUUUUGGUUUAAAUCGUAAAAAAGGAAUUGGUUGAUAAUACGUAGCUUGUUUGUUUGGAUUUACUUUAGGAGUUGGGCUUAUGGAUUUGGGUUGCUUUUUGAGGUUAUGUCUGCUUUCUUUUGAUCUCUCCCGUUCUCUUGUCUUGUUUUGGAUUUUGUAUUAAUCGUGAAAAAGCAAUUGCUUGGUAGUUGUUUGUUUUUGAUUACAUUAAGAACUAUAGUUGUAUAAUAGUUGUUUGAAAGUUGAUAAAAGUACUAUGGUUACAUGGAAAGAGAUGUAUGGAGAGUCCAUGUUGUUUUUUUUAACAGUGAAGUAAUCGAUGCUCGAUUACUUGUUCGUUGUAAAUUCAAUUAUUAUUUUAUUCCAUCGUAAUUUUUAUUUAAUACGAUUUUCGGUUUUUUCCCUGUUUUAUAAUUUGUUACUCAUUUAUGAUCAUAAUGAAAAUCAUCUUGAGUAUUUGGUUGGCUUUAAAGUUACACUCAAGAGUUUUAAUUCGAUUCUUCUGUAUAUUGAUAUUAUUAAAAUAAAACUUGUUCCGCUAUAGAUAAACUUCCAAAACGAAGUUUCAUUUAUUAAGGAUGACCUUACAUCGACCAGAAGAAUAGGGAAAAAUAUAAAAAACGAUCUUAAUUGGAUUUGUUUAAAAAACGAUUGCAUUAAUGCAAAAGGAGAAGAAGAAAAAUAAAUUAUGUUGAAAAUAUAAUGGGCAAGAGAGAGAGAGAGAGAGAGAGAGAGAGAGAGAAGGGAGAAUACGACCUGCCAAGAAUCACACUUCUGUUCGCAACCAAUUUGUUCUCCGCCUAUUACUUUUACUACCAUAGAAUCAUCAUAAAACGGCUCUCCCUCGGAGUCAAUUAAAAUUCACUUCACCGAUCUAACGACACCAAACACCAAACACGCUGUUCAACAUUCCGAUUCUUAUCCAGUCCCAACGCCCGGAAGUACAAUUUCGAUAUUCUUAUCGAACAUUGGCUCUGCUAAAGGCGAAGCGGACGAUUUUCAAAGGAAUAUUUUUAUAUAAAUAACGUAUAUUCUCCGAUAAUAGACGCGUUUAAAAUAUAACGAAAAAUACAUGUUCUUCGAUUACUAUUUAAAUGUAGAAAACAUCGUGUCUUAAAUUUCGUAUUUUACAUAGGGAUAAGACGUCCAAAAUGAAUUUUACAUUAUAUUAAGCUAUUUCGUAAACAGCGUAGCAUUUCGAAAUAAUUCGAAUUAAAUGAAACUCAACAUUUAUCCAUUCGAAAUAAAAUGUAUCUUAGCUGUAAAAUGUGUAAGACGAAAUUUUAUAUCUGCGUAUAUACUUAUUCGAUCAUCUCAUACUUAAUGUGAUUCUUCCAUAUAUUAAGUUAUCCGAAAAGUGUCUUUCUUUCGCAAACGUGUCUUUUACAACAGUGCAGCUUCAUACAAACGUGAAACAAAGUCUGCGAAAUGUCUGUGGUGUUUAUCUCAACAGAACAAAAUCGACCGUACGUAAUUUAACAAAAUAAUAUAAAACAAAAAACGUUGUGCGUCUAUUAUUUCCUCAUAAAACGAAAGAGACUUUUCGGAUAAACUAAUACUAAAUAAGAACGAAUAUUUAUCUAUCCACAAUCGAAUCGAUCAAGAUCCAAUUGACAAUUAUAGAAAGAAAAUGUUGAUUUUCAUCUUCGAGUAUACAUCAUACAUACGAAUUGUAUAUUUAAAGAAAAAUUUGAUUUUUGAUCUUAGAGGAUGUUGGUCCGUUGUUCAUGGUCCGGACAGAAAAGAAUCGAAGCUCGAUGGUAUCACGUGGCAUCGGGGUCCUCCCCUUUUAUCCCGUAGCGGAGGCCGCGUGUGUCCCGGCUUCUUGAGGUCGAGGAAUUUAAUAACGGACGAGGUCGAAGUCGCUCGCGCACACUCUCGAAAAUGAGAGCCCGAACUCCGGACACACGCCGCUGGUCACCAGAGAGACGAAGAGAAGGUUGCGCUCAUUCAUAGGAAUUUUACAGGUUGUCAGGCAGGUUUGACCGGCCUUUGUCAUGGAAGUAACUCCGUGGAGACUGAGCGCGGGGCCACGUAUGUAUGUUUGUUCGUUUAGGACGGCGACGAAUCACGGAUGAAUUUAGACGAGAGCACACGCCGCGCUUAUACCUGCGCGACCACGCCAAGACGCGACCCUGUCACCUCGGUUAGGUUAUUCUCAGAUCGAUAUAGUCGUUACGAUGAGGGAAAGAUUGGUAAAAAAAGAAAGCAAAAAAAAAAAAAAAGGAAGAAAAGGGAUUGGAGAUACGAGGAAGAUUGAAAUUACAUUGGAAUUUCAUUUAGUCGACACUAUCGAGAGAUAAAUAGUUCGUACAGUAAUUACAGGAAGUAUGAACACAUCGGUGUAUUUGUUGUAGCAUUUUCGAGUUAAUUAAUUGGGUAUUAAAUUUCGUAUUUAGCUUUUACAUUAUUAGAAAAAUUUGAUAUUGCAAAAAUGAUACGUAGAACCUGGUAGGAAGGUACUUUGUUGAAAAUGAGGAUGCGUGCUACUGUGUAACGGCAGUUGCUGAAUUUACGUUUGACGAAAUUAACGAAUGUCGUUUGCAUUGUACAAGCUUUAAUACCGGUUUUAACACUUGAGCGAAGGAUGAAUCCUCUUCACGAAAUAAGAUUUUCGAUGAAACGAGAUUAAUUCUUUCGUUAUGGUAUCUUCGUAACUAAAGAUAUUUUUCAUAUACGAAUCGACGUAGUUUCUACUAAUAUCGAAUAUUUAUGCGCUAUACAAAGUUGUCGAAGAAUUCGGAAUUCUUAAGAUUUCCUGCAUUUCUGAUAUAACUAUAUUUCACAAAAUUUAUCCAAAUCUCCUUUCCUCUACCUUUUUGUCAAUUGCGUGUAUGAUUCUAAAGAAGAGUUACAAAAUAUGGAGCGUUUACCAUCAGAAAAAUAUAUUCACCGUGUUCCAUUGACUCAUGAAAACGUGUCACAAUGUCAGAAGAUAAAAGUAUUACUGAACUAUACAACUAAAAGGAACUUUCAAGAGUUGAAACACGUGAUUAGAUCGAAAUUCGUAAAAUCUUGACUUACGUCGCUAUGAUCUUCGUUCUGCUGUUUAAUAACAAAUUAAUACAAAAGGAACACGUAUAAAGAACAGGUAUAGAAACAAUUUUAAAGAAAUAUUAGAAACGUUUCUCAAACAAUGAAUUAUCCGCAUCUCAUCAGCUAAAACAUGAUCUUUCCCAUUUAGUUGAAAAGUUCUGUCGAACCUAAUGAUCGUGACGGAACACGGUGGCAACGUUAAUAGAGUCAUCGGUCAGAAAAUCCUGGUAUUGUCGCGUGCACGUUCCCCGUUGGCUUGGAAAUCGAGUCUCAAACAUGUUCGACAGAUUUUUGCUGUGAAAGUGGCACGCGGCGGCGGAAUCACUAAACAGGUAUUUAGCGCGCAGUAGCGAGCAAUCAGGAUGAAUUCGGUCGUGAAUGUGUUUCAACUUUCAAAAUGCACCCGCCGUUGUAGCGCCACUUGGCUGAGAAAAUAGCAGCCGAAUACGCGUGGUCGUGAACGAUCGCGUGCUGAACGAGCUAGACAUCGCGCACUUUCUUACGCACCGUGUUCUCCAACUACGAUCACCGCGACGAUGUCUCGUCGAAUCAGUGAGAACCGAGACGAAUUAGCUGAAUUACGACGAUGCCUCUCGUCUUCCUGUGAGUUGUAACACGAAAGGACGAAGAAGACUGGAAAAACGCGCGAAAGCUUUGAAAAGAGGAUGUGAUCGCUGGUGAAUUUUUGUACAGCGUGUUGAAGUAAGGGGCUAUCGGUAAAACGAAGAGAAAGGAUUAGGAAGCUGUAUAGUUUAAUAUAUUAUAAUUAGAUUGGGGCAUUUUUAUGCAUUUACAGGUUUAAAAUUGCGAAAAUGCAGAGAAUUGACGUCAAAUGUCGAGUGUAGGUCGUAUGCAAACUAUCGCAAGUGUAGUACGUACUUAUUAUAAUAUUCAGUGAACGAAAUAAAUUUCUACUUAGAUUCCACGUGUUCAAUUAGCUGUAUAAAAAUAGGAAUUCCCAUAGAGAAUCGUAAUCGAAUUACGAUCUUAUUUCUUCGAAUUGUACGAUUCGAAAUAAUGUGAAUAUUAUAUUCUCUUUUAAACACGUUUAACUAAUGGACACUGACUUAACUGUUGAACCAUACAAAUAAAACUGCAGUUUUGAAAUAUGGUACGACUUGAGCUUUCAGCCAUAGUAUUAUUGGACAAUUAAAAUGUCCCAUUUCGAAAUGCAUUCAUUUUCUCGGUUUACAUAAAAGAUCUAUUUCGGAAACGAACGCAACAUAAAAAAUUAUCUGUUUUACAAAAGAAACGUUGUUUAAUUUGUUUGGUUGGAUCGAUCUUUCUGGCCGAAUAUUAAGAAAUAUUGGCCAGUUUGAGUUUGCUCGAAGCAGAGAGAUGGUUAAAAUGUUCUUGAAAUUUGAAAUAUGGAUUUUUAAGUCCCCUAAAAUUAAACCUAAAUGGAAACACGUUCGGGCCAGGUAGUCGAGCAGUCAUAAUAGAUUCUAUUAAGUCCGGGCUAUAAAAGUCGUAGGGAAACGUUGGAAGAAAGAAAGUGUCUUUAGAGUGUGUUUGCAACGCAUAGCAUGUUUCAGCAUGUGAAAUGAAAUGUGACAAAAAAUGCGACGUAAUAUCAGCUAUCCUUUUUGUUGUUAUACUAAUGUUAGACUAAUUUGUUAGAGAGAAUGAUAGCUUCUCAAAGAGUUAUUAGAAAUUAUUAGGAUCGAGGGAAAAAUUUAAAGGAAGAGAAAGUGUGCGUUCGACCAGUUGGAAUAUUAGUAUACUUCUAGUGUCUAAUAUAAAACACAAAAGAACGCUACUAAAUACAUAUUACUACCGCUAUUUCUUAAACAGAGAAUAACGUUUUACUUUUUCUCGUUCGUCAAUUUCAUGAACAAUUCCAAUUCUAAUUACUUUCUUAUGCAUUAAUUAUCUGUUUAGUUAAAGAAAAACUUUUUCCAUUUUCUAUAAAAUAUCGUAUCGAUAACAAAGAAACUGUGAGAUUCUCCGAUUGAAUAAUUAAAUCUAAGUUAAUGUGUCAAAUCAAGUGUCUCGGAAAAAUCAUAUAUACCGAUCCAUUAAUAUUUACUCAGAUCUGGGACGAAUUCAAAUUAGAUUCAAAUCUUUCGUAAAGUCUACGUAAAACCUAACGUCACGAAACAAAUCAUUUUUACAAUUUCUUUUCCAAACGCUUAAUCGCGUAAUACAUAAAAUACACAAAAAUUGAUGUCGCAGUAUUCAUCAAAUAUUGGGUUGGCAACUAAGUGAUUGCGGAUUUUGUCAAUACCGCUUAAUGACACUUAGUUGCCAAGUCAAUAAUUCAUAAAAUAAUUACCUAGACGCAAUAGCAAUCGUUAACCGUAAGAACCAAAGUUGAUCGGUGAUUUCAUUCGAAAAAGAUCGCGAGCGUAAUCAUGAAACGUCCGCAAACAGCUCGCGAUCAUUGUUCGCGAACGCUGUUCGCGAACGUGUUCGCCAGUGAAUGCCGUGCACCUUUGGUGAGCCAAAGCGAUUCUAACCGGAGGUUCGUUCGUUGGCCGAUCUCGAGAUCGAAGCUGGGUGGUCGAAUCCUAAUCGACUGACCAACGAUUGUUCACACGAGUUUCGUUGGUGAACACACGGAGACGUAGGUGUGUAAAUGGAUAGAUUAUACAUCGUCGAUGUAUCCCGUGCAUGGCUCUCAGACGACUCGUGAACCGCCUCUUUUAUCCGGGGCGCAAUUGAGUCAACGGCCUUUCGAAAGAAGUAACGGUAUACGAUUAUUACUCCUACCGAGUCUAUACUCACGAAACUGAAACAUUCGCGCGCGAGCGCCAGCCAACUCAGCCAAGCUCGAACGUUCGCGCACGCGUUUCGCAGCCUGGUUUAUGGCUAUAGACUGUGGCUAACGUUUUACGGCCACGGUGACGGAUAUCGCCGCCUUUUAAACGACACGCUAAGGCAAACCGGGACGAACGUGUUCCGGAUCAUCCAGCUUUGUAUCAUCGGUGGAACUCCAUUUUUUUCUGAACUCGUCGGGGCACCAACGGCUUAUACAAUUGGCGUUCACGUAAUAGCUUUUACUCUUUUUUUCCUGCCAUUUCAUUGUGGAGAAAGGAAAGAGAAUGGAGAUCUUAUCCAUCGGGUUGAUAACGCGAUUUGUUGGCACAUUGUCCUUAUGUUCAGCCUACAUCGCUAGGUAUCACAUGGCUGAAAAUGGAACGAAACUGUUAGGUUCAAAGAUGAAGUUUUUUAAAAAUAUCUGGCGAGCUCAUUGGAAAGUAAGCUAUAACCAUUUGUAAAAUUACGUACAUUUAACGCGAUACUAAAAUACGACAAACAACAUUUAUUAAAU